UUUUACAGAUGGAGAAACCAAGAGUCAGAAAGAUUAAGAUAACUUCUCCAAGAUCACAAGUAGCAGACUCAGGGCCAGGAUGACACCUCAGUGGACUCACAUCUGAAUCAUCCCAGGAAGUCUAGAGGGAGGAAAUGAGAGGAUGUCCUAUUCACAGAAUGGCGGAUGCCACCACCCAGCGACAAGCCAAAGGCCCCUUCUCAAAACUCUGACAAGUAAGGGAAGCAAGCCAGCCUGGCUCCCAGCUAUACCCAACAUGUCUCUUUGAAACUCACUUCAGGACCUAGGAAAGAGCUCGAGGACCAGGCCACAGGCUGUCUGUCCUACCUGGUUGGAAGUUGAGAAAAAAAAAAACUUAAAAAGAAAAUGCUAAGAAAUUCCAAAGCUGGAUAUGUCAAGGGAUUAGAUAAAGUAGAGAACCUUCAUGAGAAAUGUGUGCACACUUGUGAUACAAAGCUAAGUCACCAGGAACUACAAGCACUGAACCCAAAGUCUAAAUGUAUGUGAAAGAUGGCAUUGGAUUAAGAACACACAGGCCAUGAGUGAAUGAAACUCCCAGAGUUGACUCCCAGCUCCUCCGGUGAUUCCAUGACUCUGGGAACUACAGUGGUAACUCACAUAUGGAUUCAAAAUCUGGACUGGAACAUCUCCAUAUAUGUAAAACUAACUUUACAUAUACGCUUCAAUUAUAAACACAAGAGCUGAAUAUCGAAAGUGACUAACGCUGAAUGACCUAAACCUGAGUACUUAAAUAGUAAUUGAAGAGACUGUUUAUUAAUUUGUUUGGUUUCAAAUCUGAACUUUUUAAAAUUGGAAGUGUUGGAAGUAUUUGCCUAUACACUAUUUGGAAUAUUCUCAUUAAAGUGUGAAAUUCCAAUGC